GACGAACGCUGGCGGCGUGCCUAAUACAUGCAAGUCGAACGCAGUGGGGACGGGUGAGUAACACGUGGGUAACCUCCCAUCCGCGGGGCUAACACUUGGCAACAGGUGCUAAACCGAUACUGAUGGAUGGACCCGCGGUGAAUUAGCUAGUUGGUGAGGUAACGGCUCACCAAGGCCACGAUGCAUAGCCGACCUGAGAGGGUGUUCAGCCACACUGGGACUGAGACACGGCCCAGACUCCUAAGGGAGGCAGCAGUAGGGAAUCUUCGGAAAUGGACGAAAGUCGGACCGAGCAAUGACGCGUGAGUGAAGAAGGUGUUCGGAUCGUAAAACUCUGUUGUUAGAGAAGCGGUAUCUAACCAGAAGGCCACGGCUAACCACGUGCCAGCAGCCGCGGUAAUUC
rnacentral:rRNA from 1 species